rnacentral:rRNA from 1 species
AGGGAAUCUUCCACAAUGGACGCAAGUCUGAUGGAGCAACGCCGCGUGAGUGAAGAAGGUCUUCGGAUCGUAAAGCUCUGUUGUUGGUGAAGAAGGAUAGAGGCAGUAACUGGUCUUUAUUUGACGGUAAUCAACCAGAAAGUCACGGCUAACUACGUGCCAGCAGCCGCGGUAAUACGUAGGUGGCAAGCGUUGUCCGGAUUUAUUGGGCGUAAAGCGAGCGCAGGCGGAAUGAUAAGUCUGAUGUGAAAGCCCACGGCUCAACCGUGGAACUGCAUCGGAAACUGUCAUUCUUGAGUGCAGAAGAGGAGAGUGGAACUCCAUGUGUAGCGGUGGAAUGCGUAGAUAUAUGGAAGAACACCAGUGGCGAAGGCGGCUCUCUGGUCUGCAACUGACGCUGAGGCUCGAAGCAUGGGUAGCGAACAGGAUUAGAUACCCUGGUAGU